AGAAAGAUUUAAAAGAGGUUGCCACCAGAUAGGUAGGAAUAUGGAUGGUAGGAACUGAUGGUGCCGAGUCUAAGGACUGCUGAAGCUGGCAAACCCUUACGGCCCUCAUCUUGACUGAGAAACCUGAUUUACCUCUCAUAAGGGCACCCAGGCCUCAGAAUGUUUAGUCACAGUGUGCUUGGGCCUGAUCAUACUUCCUUUUAUGAAGGAAGAGUUUCCAUUCUGCUCUGCAGUCUGUUGGGUGAGCCGCCAGUUUACAUAGAUCCCUGUUGAAACCUGGCUUGUUCCGUAAGGACGGGAUCCAGGAGGGACGCACCGAUACGCACGGAUUCCUCCUAUGUCCCGGUUCUAGAGACUGAAUAAAAAGUGAGACUCUGCGGCCAGUAUGGCGGAGCUGGCAUCUCAGGAAGACUGCGAUGGCGAACUGUUUGCUCCGAAAGAUGAAGGCUACAGGGUUAUUUUAGUUCAGAUGUCCCAAUUCUGCUUUUUAUUUCACAGCAAAUAGAGAAUUGAAUGAAUCACAAGUCAUAGAUAUUUCUCCAGUCUAUUUUUAAACACACACUGGCUCUUUCCCAGAAAGAGGAGAAACAAAAAUCCACUGGCAGGCAAGCUUUACCUUUUCCAUUGAAUUUCCUGAGGAGAUCUUUAAAAAAAAAAAAAAUCCCUCUGGAAACCCA